AACGAGGGCUAAUACCGGAUAAUCUUAGAUUACGGCAUCGAAGUUUAAGGAAAGGUGGCCUCUGAAUAUGCUACCGAUUAUGGAUGGACCCGCGUCUGAUUAGCUAGUUGGUGGGGUAAAGGCCUACCAAGGCGACGAUCAGUAGCCGGCCUGAGAGGGUGAACGGCCACACUGGGACUGAGACACGGCCCAGACUCCUACGGGAGGCAGCAGUGGGGAAUCUUCCGCAAUGGACGAAAGUCUGACGGAGCAACGCCGCGUGUAUGAUGAAGGUCUUCGGAUUGUAAAGUACUGUCUUUGGGGAAGAAUGAUGCAUUUGAAAAUAUUGAGUGCAAAUGACGGUACCCAAGGAGGAAGCCCCGGCUAACUACGUGCCAGCAGCCGCGGUAAUACGUAGGGGGCAAGCGUUGUCCGGAAUUAUUGGGCGUAAAGGGUGCGUAAGCGGAUAGUUAAGUCCGGUGUGAAAAAUCAAGGCUCCACCCUGAGAGUGCAUCGGAAACUGGUUAUCCUUGAAGACCGGAAAGGAAAGUGAAAUUCCUAGUGUAACGGUGAAAUGCCUAAAUAUAAGGAGGAACCCCAGGGGCGAAGGCAACUUUCUGGACUGUAACUGAC
rnacentral:rRNA from 1 species